CCAAAUCGUUUAUAAAUUGAAGUAGGUCAACCACCGCCUAAGUGGGUCCCAUUGGGAGCUGUUUGCGCGGUCUCGCGAAAAUGCGAAUAUCUCUCUACUCCGAUGUCGUAUUGAUGAACGGUUUAAUGCAUUAGAAACUAGACUUGUAGACCAUCAACUUGGUAGGUAUAACACCCCAUGAUUCCAAGUAUAUUUGGAGAAAUUCUCAGAUACAUUUGACCUAAAUUCCAACAAAUUUAUGAAUGUAACUUGUGAUGAUCUUUGCCAACUCUUGUUCCACAACUUGCUUGCCUUCAAAAUGUAGAAAAUGAAUAUCAUACGACUAAAAUAACUCAUAUAAUAACCUCCUUAUCAUGUUAAUAACCCUAGUCUCACCCCAAAGUACAUGUUAUAACAUUCGAAACUUGUCGACUUUCGACGAAACUUAUUUUCUUCAAUUGGUUUAGCUUCUAAGAUUUCCAACCCUCUUGGUACUCGUUAUUCAUGAUCUUAAAUAUUUGUAACCUCCAAGGUAACAUGAUUAACUUACUUUAUUUGCUUCCAAAUAUAAUCUCAUUUCCGAGCUUACAUCAAUGACUUACGACGUAGUCUCACGUAUGAAAACUUGGGGUGUAACAUAGAGCGCCUAAAGCAACUACGCAUUUUCAAGUUUGCGAGGGCCAUGGAAAAUUCACUUUAUGGCACACCUCGAUUUCUAAAGAGUAAAAAUUAAUUAAGUGAGGGAUAUGGGUUUUGAGAUUUUAUUUGGCAUGACACGCCUCGACUCUUAUUUCAAAGGGCUUUAUUAUUCGAAGUUGUUAUAAUCGGGUUACAUGAAAUGUACCCCCGAAUUGAGAUUUACGUAUCGUAACCAUGCCACGGAAACCGUACCCAUGGCCACGAUAAUUUAAUUACUCGUAGUUAUGAUGUUCGAGACUUAGUGAAUUUCCCAAGAUUUUGACAAUAUCCCAACAUUCAAACGUUGGCCAUCUAAAAAAAUGCAUUUAUAUAUUAAAUGCACGCUAAUACACUAUAGAACUGAUGCCUAUACAUCAUACAAAUGCUACAUAACUAAUUUUAUAAGGAAUGUCCACUAUCCAAACACACUACAGAGAAAUCAUAAGAAGCCAACUAAACAUUUUUCAUAGUGAAUUUCCAACAUUGAUAGUACUCUCUGAUUUCACACUUCAUUUCAAACACAUCAAAAUACUUCAACAAACACACAAAAGAACGAAAAUAGCUAUUGAAUAAUCAUGGGAAUGAAACAGACGAAAAAUGAAUAAUUCUAUACAACUCUUAUCUAAACAAAUCUGAAAUUUAUAUUAUUCAAACAAAAUGUAAUACCUGAUUACAGCAGCACAAAGACAAACGGGGAAUAUGUCUCUUCAAAAUGAAUCCGAGUUUAGCUGACUUGCAGCUCCAGAAUCGGAUGGAGUCGUGACCAAGACCAACGAAACUUCGACUUCAGAACUUGCCGGAAGUCAAUGAAACACAGGCAGACCUCGACUCUUCAGCCUCGAAACUCGCUGGAAAGUAAAAAGUGUGUGACUGUGUGUUUGCGUGUUCCGACAGAUAUGGUGAAGAGAAGACGAAGCAGCGAAAUACAAAAGGUCAUAAAAUCGGCUAUUUGUGCGAAUCACUUGCUGUAGCAGCAGGUUAGUCAACAAAUCAACCGCAGAGACAAAAUCUAGCAAAAUGCUGAAAAUGAAAUCGUUUAAGAAGGACAGUAAGUCCCUAUCACCAUUUUAGGGGAAUGAUUUGAAAUCAAAAAGGUCAAAUGCAAGCAGAAAUACCAAGUCUUCCAUACAUUCCUAUGGUAGAUCCUUCUGUUUUUUUUUUUGGUUUUUAGAUCUAGGAUUUUUUUUGUCUUGUGUUGAUAUUGCUCUAGACAUUAGGGAACACGACUGAUAGUCUUCUUUGUAUUGUUACAGCUGAGGCUUUUUUGGAGAAAGUGUAUCGAAGAAGAAGAAACCGAGGCUAGGGGGUCUAUGGUUGAAAAUGGCG
rnacentral:lncRNA from 1 species